rnacentral:rRNA from 1 species
GCGGAUGAACUGUGGGUAGCGGAGAAAUUCCAAUCGAACCCGGAGAUAGCUGGUUCUCCCCGAAAUAGUUUUAGGACUAGCCUCAAGUUAGAUACCUGGAGGUAAAGCACUGAAUAGCCUAGCGGCCGAGAGGUUAGCGAAGCUUAUCAAACUCAGAAUGCCAGAGUAUUGAUGCUUGGGAGUCAGACAGUGUCAGAUAAAUGUCAUUGUCAAAAGGGAAACAGCCCAGAUCUACAGCUAAGGUCCCAAAGUCAGGUUAAGUGGAAAACGAUGUGAAGAUACGCAGACAACCAGGAUGUUGGCUCAGAAGCAGCCACUCAUUCAAAGAGUGCGUAAUAGCUCACUGGUCGAGCGUCUUUGCGCGGAGAAUUUAACGGGGCUAAACCUGACACCGAAGCUUAGGCAAUCCAGCAAUGGAUUGGGUAGGGGAGCGUUGUAUACGCGGAGAAACAGUAGCGUAAGCGGCUGUGGAGUGUAUAGAAGUGAGAAUGCCGGAAUGAGUAGCGCGAAUGCAGUGAGAAUCUGCAUGGCCGAAAGCCUCAGGUUUUUGGAGGAAGGUUCGUCCGCUCCAAGUUAGUCGGGAGCUAAGGUGAGGCCGGAAGGCGUAGCCGAUGCACAGACGGUAGAGAUUCCGUCACCACCAAAAGAGUUAAGCACAGGGACACAUUUGAAGUCUCAGAGCCGGGUGUUGGUUCCGGUAGAGAUCGAGGGAAGUUAGUACCGAAGUCUGAGAUGGAAGAUGGCGAGAAAAGCUGUGUGUAUUUCUGAGGUGCCCGUACCGCAAACCGACACAGGUAGGUAGGAAGAAGAUUCUAAGGCCAACGGGAGAAGGGUUGUUAAGGAACUCGGCAAAUUGACCCCGUAACUUCGGGAGAAGGGGUGCUCCAGAGAUGGAGCCGCAGAGAAUCGGCCCAAGCAACUGUUUACCAAAAACACAGGUUUGUGCUAAAUCGAAAGAUGACGUAUACGAGCUGACGCCUGCCCGGUGCUGGAAGGUUAAGAGGAGAUGUGCAAGCAUUGAAUCGAAGCCCCAGUGAACGGCGGCCGUAACUAUAACGGUCCUAAGGUAGCGAAAUUCCUUGUCAGGUAAGUUCUGACCCGCAUGAAAGGCGUAAUGAUUUGGGCACUGUCUCAACAGCCCGCCCGGCGAAAUUGUAGUACCGGUGAAGAUGCCGGUUACCCGCGACAAGACGGAAAGACCCCAUGGAGCUUUACUGUAGCCUAAUAUUGGGUUUCGAUGUUGCAUGCACAGGAUAGAUGGGACACUAGGAAACAAUCGCUUUGGCGGUUGCGGAGUGGCCGUUGGGAUACCAUCCUUGCGAUAUUGGAAUUCUAACCUGCGGCUCUGAAUCGAGUCGGGGGACAUUGUUAGGUGGGCAGUUUGACUGGGGCGGUCGCCUCCUAAAAAGUAACGGAGGCGUUCAAAGGUUCGCUCAGCUUGAACGGAAAUCAAGCAAAAGAGUGCAAACGCAGAAGCGAGCCUAACUGCGAGACUGACGGGUCGAGCAGUAACGAAAGUUGGAGUUAGUGAUCCGGUGGUAUGUGAGUGGAAAUGCCAUCGCUCAACGGAUAAAAGUUACCCUGGGGAUAACAGGCUGAUCUCCCCCAAGAGUCCACAUCGACGGGGAGGUUUGGCACCUCGAUGUCGGCUCAUCGCAUCCUGGGGCUGUAUUCGGUCCCAAGGGUUUGGCUGUUCGCCAAUUAAAGCGGUACGCGAGCUGGGUUCAGAACGUCGUGAGACAGUUCGGUCCCUAUCUGUCGUGGGCGCAGGAUAUUUGAUGGGAGCUGUCCCUAGUACGAGAGGACCGGGACGGACGUACCUCUGGCGCACCAGUUGUUCCGCCAGGAGCAUAGCUGGGCAACUACGUACGGAUCGGAUAAACGCUGAAAGCAUCUAAGCGUGAAGCCGACCCAAAGAUAAGAUAUCCCAUUGU